GGUACAGUGGCUUAGUGGUUAGCACGUUCGCCUUGCACCUCCGUGUUGGGGGUUCGAAUCCCACCUCUCCCU